UGGGGAAUUUUGGACAAUGGGCGAAAGCCUGAUCCAGCAAUGCCGCGUGUGUGAAGAAGGCCUUCGGGUUGUAAAGCACUUUUGUCCGGAAAGAAAUCCUUGGCUCUAAUACAGUCGGGGGAUGACGGUACCGGAAGAAUAAGCACCGGCUAACUACGUGCCAGCAGCCGCGGUAAUACGUAGGGUGCAAGCGUUAAUCGGAAUUACUGGGCGUAAAGCGUGCGCAGGCGGUUUGCUAAGACCGAUGUGAAAUCCCCGGGCUCAACCUGGGAACUGCAUUGGUGACUGGCAGGCUAGAGUAUGGCAGAGGGGGGUAGAAUUCCACGUGUAGCAGUGAAAUGCGUAGAGAUGUGGAGGAAUACCGAUGGCGAAGGCAGCCCCCUGGGCCAAUACUGACGCUCAUGCACGAAAAGCGUGGGGAGCAAAACAGGAUUAGAUACCCUGGUAGUCCCACGCCCUAAAACGAUGUCAACUAGUUGUUGGGGAUUCAUUCCUUAGUAACGUAGCUAACGCGUGAAGUUGACCGCCUGGGGAGUAC
rnacentral:rRNA from 1 species